UCAAACUCCAAGUGAAUAUGACUCUUCUACAGUCACUACUCAUUUUUCCUGUUCAUCUCCCAUUUGAUUAUGGGCAACUUAAUUUAUCUUAGUGCCCCAGUGGACACUGACAAAUAGUAGGCAGUCAAUGAAUAUGGACAGAAGAAAGGAAGAGAGGAUGAGAAGGAAAGGAGAGAGGGAAGGGAUAGAGGUACAGAGGAGCUUAGCAUGAUGAGAGCAUGUGUACAGAAAUAAAUGAAACAAAAAUCAAAUGAACAGCAUGACCUGGCUCAAGAGACAGCAGAAAUGCCCAGAAAAUUGUGUGGAACCUCUGAAGAAUGCAAUGGGCUCAGCUCAAUGGUGAAGACGUCUCCUAUGUCCCUUGUGGCCAAGACAAACCAGGCAAACCUGAGGCUGGACACACAGAAGAGAUAUUUUUCUCCUCUCUUUCCUGCAUCUUCAAACUUUCUAACUUCCUCUUAUAUGAAGGCACCUAGACUUAGUGCUGGAAGUGGCCUCUUUAUCUGCCAUGGAGAUAUAUGGUUUGGUCGUCAGUUUGGCCACCUGUCUUGCCUCUGGAACAUGAUACAUAGCUGGAUUCUCAGACUCUGCACCUCUUUUGGAGAAUCUAUUUUCUACAAGCAGUCAUUGCGGAGGGGAGGAAGGUUACAGAAGCAGGUACACAUUAAUUCUGCUCAAUUUGGAGCCUGAGAAAGAUGAUUGAUGGCAACUCAGCUGCCCUCUGGCUCUCACUCCUGGAGCUUAACCUUUACAUAUGGAUACUAAACAGGCCUGGUGCAAUCUUGGUGAGCCUCUCAGUGAAUAUUUUCUUACUCAGAAUAAUCAAAUUUUAAGAAUGUGCUACAGGAAAAAGCUGUCACAUUGCAUUAGGUUAGCACUGUGACUUCAUGGAAAUGGUCAGGUAACUCAAUUGCCCCAGCCCAAUA
rnacentral:lncRNA from 1 species